rnacentral:rRNA from 1 species
GACGAACGCUGGCGGCGUGCUUAACACAUGCAAGUCGAACGAUGAACCCGGAGCUUGCUCCGGCGGAUUAGUGGCGAACGGAUGAGUAACACGUGAGUAACCUGCCCUUGACUCUGGGAUAACUGCGGGAAACUGUAGCUAAUACCGGAUACGACCCUCGGCGGCAUCGCCAGGGGGUGGAAAGAAUUUCGGUCAAGGAUGGACUCGCGGCCUAUCAGCUAGUUGGUGAGGUAACGGCUCACCAAGGCGACGACGGGUAGCCGGCCUGAGAGGGGGACCGGCCACACUGGGACUGAGACACGGCCCAGACUCCUACGGGAGGCAGCAGUGGGGAAUAUUGCACAAUGGGCGCAAGCCUGAUGCAGCAACGCCGCGUGAGGGAUGACGGCCUUCGGGUUGUAAACCUCUUUUAGUAGGGAAGAAGCGAAAGUGACGGUACCUGCAGAAAAAGCACCGGCUAACUACGUGCCAGCAGCCGCCGUAA